rnacentral:tRNA from 1 species
GCCGACGUGGUGGAAUUGGUAGACACGCUAUCUUGAGGGGGUAGUGGCGUGAGCCGUCCCGGUUCGAGUCCGGGCGUCGGCACCA